rnacentral:rRNA from 1 species
AUUGAACGCUGGCGGCAUGCCUUACACAUGCAAGUCGAACGGCAGCAUGGAGAGCUUGCUCUCUGAUGGCGAGUGGCGAACGGGUGAGUAAUGCAUCGGAACGUACCGUGUAAUGGGGGAUAACGUAGCGAAAGUUACGCUAAUACCGCAUACGACCUGAGGGUGAAAGCAGGGGAUCGCAAGACCUUGCGUUAUACGAGCGGCCGAUGUCGAGAUUAGCUAGUUGGUGAGGUAAAGGCUCACCAAGGCGACGAUCUGUAGCGGGUCUGAGAGGAUGAUCCGCCACACUGGGACUGAGACACGGCCCAGACUCCUACGGGACGCAUCAGUGGGGAAUUUUGGACAAUGGGGGCAACACUGGUCCAGCCACGCCGGGUAAGUGAAGAAGGCCUUCGGGGUGUAAAGCACUUUCGGCCGGGAAGAAAUCGCACAGCCUAAUACUCUGUGUGUAUGACGGUACCGGCAUAAGAAGCACCGGCUAACUACGUGCCAGCCGCCGCCGUAA